rnacentral:snRNA from 1 species
GAGUUUUCUAAGAAUGUGCUUGCUAAAAGUUGGAUCAAUACAUAGAAGAUUGCAUGGCCCCACUCAAGGAUGACACACAAAUUGGUGAGGCAUUUUUAUAAAGUUUCU